AGGCAACAUAUCUUUUGAAGAAGAAGGAGCUUGAUAUGAAUCAGAACAAAAUUCUCAUGAAUAAAGCUCUUGUUGAUGCUUUCAGAUUUACAUUCAUGGAUGUCAAAAUUUCUGAUCUUCCAGUUGUGCCUCCUGGUUAUGUGCCGCAUCAAGAUCAGGUACGGCAGCAGCAGAGUUUAAGAUCUUCCCCAAUGAGUGGUUCAUCCUCAGCUCGCCAACCUGUGGAGGCCCAGCAGACUGUUGUCUCAUCUUCGCCAGUUGCUAAUUGUUCAGUGCAAUCUGCAGAAACUUGUUUGCCUCCGUUAAGAUCUUCAUCUGUUGCUGGUUCAU
rnacentral:misc_RNA from 1 species